AGUGAACGCUGGCGGUAGGCCUAACACAUGCAAGUCGAACGGCAGCACAGUAAGAGCUUGCUCUUACGGGUGGCGAGUGGCGGACGGGUGAGGAAUACAUCGGAAUCUACUUUUUCGUGGGGGAUAACGUAGGGAAACUUACGCUAAUACCGCAUACGACCUACGGGUGAAAGCAGGGGAUCUUCGGACCUUGCGCGAUUGAAUGAGCCGAUGAGGGAUUAGCUAGUUGGCGGGGUAAAUGCCCACCAAGGCGAGGAUCCGUAGCUGGUCUGAGAGGAUGAUAGGCCACACUGGAACUGAGACACGGUCCAGACUCCUACGGGACGGAGCAGUGGGGAAUAUUGGACAAUGGGCGCAAGCCUGAUCCAGCCAUACCGCGUGGGUGAAGAAGGCCUUCGGGUUGUAAAGCCCUUUUGUUGGGAAAGAAAAGCAGCAGGUUAAUACCCCGCUGUUCUGACGGUACCCAAAGAAUAAGCACCGGCUAACUUCGUG
rnacentral:rRNA from 1 species